AUGAACGCUGGCGGCGUGCCUAAUCCAUGCAAGUCGAGCGAACAGACGAGGAGCUCGCUCCUCUGACGUUAGCGGCGGACGGGUGAGUAACACGUGGAUAACCUACCUAUAAGACUGGGAUAACUUCGGGAAACCGGAGCUAAUACCGGAUAAUAUAUUGAACCGCAUGGUUCAAUAGUGAAAGACGGUUUUGCUGUCACUUAUAGAUGGAUCCGCGCCGCAUUAGCUAGUUGGUAAGGUAACGGCUUACCAAGGCAACGAUGCGUAGCCGACCUGAGAGGGUGAUCGGCCACACUGGAACUGAGACACGGUCCAGACUCCUACGGGAGGCAGCAGUAGGGAAUCUUCCGCAAUGGGCGAAAGCCUGACGGAGCAACGCCGCGUGAGUGAUGAAGGUCUUCGGAUCGUAAAACUCUGUUAUUAGGGAAGAACAAAUGUGUAAGUAACUAUGCACGUCUUGACGGUACCUAAGCAGAAAGCCACGGCUAACUACGU
rnacentral:rRNA from 1 species